GCAUGUGUGUGUGAGGGCAUGUGUGUGUGAGGGCAUGUGUGUGUGAGUGGAGUAUGUAACGGGCCGUGUGAGUGUGUAAGGGUGUGUGAGGGGUGUGAGAGUCUGUAAGUGAGGCGCCAGCCCCCUCCCCCCUACACGUUGAUCUUAUUCGAUCGGCCGGGCCCCGCCGGGCCGAGGUGAGAAGAAGGCGCCGCGAAGCCCCUGGGGCGCUGUGCGGCUGGGCCGGGCGGGAUGAGUCGAUCAGAUAGGCGAGGCCCAGGGCACUGCCCUGGCCCGUGAGCGCCCUGCGAUUCUGACCCGA